rnacentral:rRNA from 1 species
CAGAGGUGCCAAGCGUUAGGCGGAAUCACUGGGCUUAAAGCGUGUGUAGGCGGAUCGUUAAGUGCCUUGUGAAGUCCCACGGCUUAACCGUGGAACUGCUCGGCAUACUGGCGGUCUUGAGCCAGCUAGGGGCUACCGGAACAAAUGGUGGAGCGGUGAAAUGCGUAGAUAUCAUUUGGAACGCCAAUGGUGAAAACAGGUAGCUGGGGCUGUGCUGACGCUGAGACACGAAAGCCAGGGGAGCGAACGGGAUUAGAUACCCCGGUAGUCCUGGCCGUAAACGAUGUCGACUAGAUCGCAGUGCCUCUGACGGUAUUGCGGUCGAAGCAAAAGUGCUAAGUCGACCGCCUGGGAAGUACGGUCGCAAGGCUA